rnacentral:rRNA from 1 species
UAGUCCACGCUGUAAACGAUGAUUACUAGAUGUUCGGACUUCGGUCUGAGUGUCCAAGCGAGAGUGAUAAGUAAUCCACCUGGGGAGUACGUUCGCAAGAAUGAAACUCAAAGGAAUUGACGGGGGCCCGCACAAGCGGUGGAGCACGUGGUUUAAUUCGAUGAUACGCGAGGAACCUUACCAGGGCUUAAAUGUAGUCUGACAGGCUGAGAGAUCGGCUUUUCUUCGGACAGAUUACAAGGUGCUGCAUGGUUGUCGUCAGCUCGUGCCGUGAGGUGUCAGGUUAAGUCCUAUAACGAGCGCAACCCCUGUUGUUAGUUGCCAUCGAGUAAUGUCGGGAACUCUAACAAGACUGCCAGUGCAAACUGUGAGGAAGGUGGGGAUGACGUCAAAUCAUCACGGCCCUUACAUCCUGGGCCACACACGUGCUACAAUGGUAGGGACAGAGAGCAGCCACUACGCGAGUAAGAGCGAAUCUAUAAACCCCUAU